GCUCAGAGCGAACGCUGGCGGCAGGCCUAACACAUGCAAGUCGAACGGACCCUUCGGGGUUAGUGGCGGACGGGUGAGUAACACGUGGGAACGUGCCUUUAGGUUCGGAAUAGCUCCUGGAAACGGGUGGUAAUGCCGAAUGUGCCCUUCGGGGGAAAGAUUUAUCGCCUUUAGAGCGGCCCGCGUCUGAUUAGCUAGUUGGUGAGGUAAUGGCUCACCAAGGCGACGAUCAGUAGCUGGUCUGAGAGGAUGACCAGCCACAUUGGGACUGAGACACGGCCCAAACUCCUACGGGAGGCAGCAGUGGGGAAUCUUGCGCAAUGGGCGAAAGCCUGACGCAGCCAUGCCGCGUGAAUGAUGAAGGUCUUAGGAUUGUAAAAUUCUUUCACCGGGGACGAUAAUGACGGA
rnacentral:rRNA from 1 species